rfam:Felis catus isolate Cinnamon breed Abyssinian chromosome B4, whole genome shotgun sequence.
GCCUGGGUGGCUCAGUCGGUUAAGCGUCCGACUUCGGCUCGGGUCAUGAUCUCAUGGUGCGUGGGUUCGGGCCCCGCGUCGGGCU